GCAGAGAAGAAUAUAUAUAGUAGAAAAACAUAAGAAAGCAGUAGAAACACAUGCCUGAUAAAUAUACACAAGGAAAAAGGAAAAGAAAAGUUGGAGAAAAUAUUUUUAUUUUUUUAAGAAACUCUAAAUCGAUGAGAAGUAAUUUUUGAAAGAAAAAGUUGGGGAAAACGUUUAAGAACUCAAGUAAAGCACAUGCAUAGAACAGAUUUAAAAAAACAAAUAGAGAAAACUUCGAAUUGCUAUGGUUUCAGAGGAACUCUAGAAUGAGAAAGGCUUGGAAAAGGUCUGAUCUAAUUCGGCUAAGUAAGAACUGGGCUCAAAAUGCUUUGCAUACGCCGAAGCUAGGCCGGAGAAACCAUAGAACCUUGAAUCGAAGAAAAUCUGAACAGACACCAUCGAGGUUAGACCUCGAAACUUCGAACACCAAGCGUUUAAGAGUAGAGGGAGGUGAACAUAGGCCAUUCAUACCUGAGAGGCCAUAUAUUCCGGUGAGAUUGAGGUUGAAGAAGGUGAGAGAGGCUAGGGUUUCAAGGACAUUUGAGAGAGUUUGAGAGAGGAAAGGUAUUCAAGGGUUGUG
rnacentral:lncRNA from 1 species